CGGACGAUCGUUUUGGAGAAGCGAGAACGCUUAAAUAGGGGAAAUGCWGGAUCCCAAAAGACCCAUGCCCACAUCAGGUUCCGUAUACAUGARACCAAGCGAUGCUUCAAGGGCCACAUCGUCAAUGCAAAAGCACCAACAAGGUGGACCACAAAGCCUGCUUCARGGUUCAUCCCACGCCGCAUGAGCGACGCAUGACGAAAAAGGRCGUCCAUAAAGCCACACGUUACCGUCGAUUAGGUAUGCAACACAGGAAACCCACAAGCUGCUCAAGGCAAAACAAGCCUUGUCGCUAAAAUGAAGAGGUAAGCACGCGUGGACGUUGCUGCGCGAGCAGAC
rnacentral:misc_RNA from 1 species